rnacentral:lncRNA from 1 species
UGAAUAACUCAUGAUAAUUUCAGCCCUGGGUUGAAAAGAUUACAUGACAAAAUUUUCAACCCAGGGCUGAGAAGCAGGGUUGAAAUUUCAACCCCGGGGUUGAACCCAGCCCUGGGUUGAAAAUUUUGUCAUGUAAUCGCGCGUUUGAUUUUGAUAGAGUUUUGUAUUACAGACAGGGCUGAAAUGUCAACCCGGUAAACAGGGCUGACUGGCUGAGUUCAACCCCGGGGUUGAAAAUGCUCCAUGUAAUCGGCCCCUAAGAUAUCGAGGGAACAAAGAUUGGUUGAAGUUGUACCCAGUUUCGGUACACAAAAUAAUAUCUUAAUGUUUCAUUUAAAUUUUAAAACAUAUCUUAAGCCAUUUCUUUAACUUAAGCCCGGAUAAAACGAGAAUGAGAGUGCAUGAGAGUUAGAAGUCUUGGUAAGUCUUGGUAGUCGUACUAAACCAUUGAAAUCGAAAGACACGUAGCAUAUUUCCUUUUCAACUGCAAUUCUAGUCAUAAAGCUAACGAAUAGAAAUUGGUUGCGAGCUGUAUCCAAUUUAAGUGCACGAAAUACUUUCCUGAUGUCUUCUUUAACACCGCCUUUAAGUUUGGAUAGAACUCGGAUGCACUUCGAUAAAUAUUUCCAAAUGUGUGCUCAAAAUAACAAAUUUGAUCAUUGUAUUAAGUUAAGUUAAUAAAAACCUUAUAUUCCGCAGCCUAUGUAGGCUCCUCCGCAGGCAUCUCGUCGUCCACUGGGUUGCUUGGAUUUACAAAGUCGCCCAAAUCGUUGCUUCAAUGUUUUUGCCCGUAACCGAGACUACCGAGUUCUGCCUGCCAAUCUGAAGGCGAUCCCAGCCCAGCAGAGGAUACCAUAGGCAACGUCUAGUGUAGGUUACCGCUUUCUGAAAAAAGGUAUGAAUUUCCCGUGCGCGCGUAAUACAAAAUGACUGAAAAACGGCAAACUUCGCAGGGCUAAUAUUAUCCGCAUUUUACAACAUUUCGCAACGAAACUUCGGAAUAUUACUAAUUUUGUGAUGCUCUUUCAAGCUGUGAUGAAAUUUUUGUCUAGGCUUAUCUAGAUCAAAAUUUUGUUCAUCAGGGAAUAGGUCCAAUACCCCAAAUCACUGUCCGUCCGCCAAAACUUAUUGUCAUUUCAUAAAAUCAUAAACAGUUUGCAUAACAACUGACGACAACUGAAGGAAAGUUUCAAACUAUACGGCCCCUUAAUAAAUUCUUGUCCUAUGAAUUAUGACAAUUUAUGCACUGAUGAAGAUCUGGAUUUCUGGGUCAAAACUAAAAGCUUUAUGCCAUGCAGUGUUUUCCACUGAUUAAUAAACAAUUUUAUUGGUAUGUUGCAGUGCCACUUUUUAUUAGUUUAAAAUAAUCCUAAUUGUGGUAGUUAUUCUGGAAAAAAUUGUAAUUAAUUGUCGCCUCGCGAAUUUUCCAAGGAAAAAGUACAAAAGGAAAAACUAUUGCUAAAUUGUUGCAGAAAUAUAGCUAUUUAUACUGAUGGCAUAAAAGUAGCAAAAUGUGUUACCCAGAGGCGUAGCCAGGGCUGGGCCCGGGCCCCCCUGGCAAAAUUUUGGGCCCCCUCUGAUAAAAUGGAUUGUAUA